CCUCGUUCUCUGUUGAACACUGCAGCUCUCAAGGCACUCAGAAAGGAGCUUUCUCAAUUGUUAUCACAUCAGUCUGCCUUCCCACUCAAGCACAAAUCCCUCAAAGCUCUUUCUAAAGCUAAGGAAAUCAUGGAACCCAUGACUCCCAUGACAUCUGCAAGACAAAAAUCAAUGAAAGGCCAAGAAGACAUGCCAAGAAGCAGAAACUGAAGUUGCAUAUUGUGACGUAACAAGCUCACCCACCUCGAUUAUAAAGUGUUAAGAAGAGGAAGCCCCUGACAAGCAAUAAACUGACACAUAAUUAAGACAA